ACGGGAGGCAGCAGUGGGGAAUAUUGCACAAUGGGCGAAAGCCUGAUGCAGCGACGCCGCGUGAGCGAAGAAGUAUUUCGGUAUGUAAAGCUCUAUCAGCAGGGAAGAAAAAAUGACGGUACCUGACUAAGAAGCACCGGCUAACUCCGUGCCAGCAGCCGCGGUAAUACGGAGGAUGCAAGCGUUAUCCGGAUUUAUUGGGUUUAAAGGGUGCGUAGGCUGUGUGGCAAGUCAGCGGUGAAAUGCCGGAGCUCAACUCCGGAACUGCCGUUGAUACUGUCAUGCUGGAAUACGGAUGCCGUGGGAGGAAUGAGUAGUGUAGCGGUGAAAUGCAUAGAUAUUACUCAGAACACCGAUUGCGAAGGCAUCUCACGAAUCCGUCAUUGACGCUGAGGCACGAAAGCGUGGGGAUCAAACAGGAUUAGAUACCCUGGUA
rnacentral:rRNA from 1 species